GCCUAAUGAAAAAAGCAGGAAAACUGAAGAAGGAGCUGUCUGGUUUAAGCUACUAUCCACAUUGUGUUGACUUCUGCAGGCUGUAAACAUGACUGUGAAGAAUACAUCUUGCUCUUCUGACUGUGGUCUGUGUUUCGACCAUCCUUCCUAUCCAGUUAGCUCAAAUCUAAACGGCAGUCAGCCUUUUGAGGAGGAGACACCUCUCUAUCAGAUGGGAAAUACUGAAAAAUGC